rnacentral:ncRNA from 1 species
AUAUAUACUAAUGCUGCAUUGGAACCCAGUGGAGUCAUCUUGCUGAUGGCUGGGGCCCAACCAAAUAAGGUGAUUAUAUGGGAUACUGUAUGAAAGCCAAGACCAUGUGAUUGGUUUACGGGAUUAAAAGACCGCUUUGGUUAGGGGCGCAAUCCGCUCUUCGAUGUAAACGACUAUCCGACUAGGCACGACAAGAGGCUCUGUAGAAAUACAUCCCACGUGAUGAUGUUAGCGUGAGAAACUAGCAUCUGCGUUCUCAAAAGAAGUGUUCGGCUUGAUGAGUGGUAACACUCUAUAACUAGUUUGAUAGGUGCGAUUAGGCGAACGCCGAAAAAAAGAAAUCCUUAACCCGUUUUUUCGCUGAAGCUCGCUGAAAGUUGGAAGGUAAUUUAGUCCUUCCCGUUGGACGGUAGAAAUACCCAUUCCAGAAGUUAAGGGGUCGCUCCCUUUGGCUCAGCCUGGCGUGAACGUGCGUGAAUAACAAAUUAGAGUAAGAAUUGUAUGAUGAAGGUCGCCAAUGCCUUUUUUAUUAUU